GGAGGAGGAGGAAGCGGAAGCGGAAGCGUGUCCAGGCCGCCUCAGGCCCGCUUUGACACCCUGCGGCACCGACGUGAGCGCUGGGGCAGCGCCGGCCCCGGCCCCGGCACCGCCCCGAUGGAGGCCGGGUCUCUGCACAGCCGCAGGAGCCGGAGGGGGAGCUGGAGGGGCAGGAGCAGCGCGUUGUGGCCGGUCCUCACUGCAGAGCCGCCCCCCCCGCGCAGACACGCGGCCCGGCUGCGCUAGAGUCCGGCACCCGGGACUGGCGUCGUGAGACAGGGUCGUCCUGGGCUGCGAGGGGUUGCCCACGGGUGUUUGUACGAGGGGGGGCGCGGGUGCGGAUAUCCACAUGCACACGUAUGUGUAUACGUGUACAAGUGUAUAUGUUGGUAUACAUAUGUGGAAAGAGUGCGUGUGGCAAUGCACAUACACUUCUGCCUGUGCACACACCUGCAUGUACACACACAAACACGUGCACACUGUGCACACAGUAUGCACAUGCACGCACGCUGUACCCUAUAUGCUGCAGGUGCACUGCGUGUAUACACCUACACAUGCAGAUGCGUGAGCAUGCAUGUAUGUAUAUACACACACACACACACACACACGUGCAUGUAUGUGGCUGCAUGGGCUCACAUACCGAGUGCGUGAGUGCGAGUCGAGCACCGGGUGGAUUUGAGCACUCGAUCCCCAGAGCGGUGGGUGCGGGGGACAGAGUUUGGUGGAGUCGCCCUUUGCAAUGAGAUCCCUUUUAGCCCAGGGAGGUGAAUCCGGGCGACCCCUUUCACUGGAAGCUCGUGGGCUCGUGCAGCCGUUGCUGGUGCUGCUCUUGUUUCCCCUGGCCCGUGCUGCCUGCCCUGCUGGACGGGCCCAGGUGUAUGAGUUAAGGUUGGUUCAACACUUCAGUUUCUGCAGUAACCUUAGGAAUGGUGUUGGUUGUGGUUUGUACCACGUAGACUCACUGAAUCAGAGAUGCGUCAGCUCUUGUAAGCAUCUGGCAAAAAUAAUUUUUUUUCCUGCAACAUCCCAAAUAAAGAGACCUUACAAGAUUGUCUUGGUACAUGAAAUGAGUAAGUCUCAGCUGGGCUCCUUUGUGAUAUUAGCUCUAUUAGACAUGUAAACACCUGCAUGUGAUUCACAAGACAAACCUCGAGGUUUCAGGUAGGAAGCCGUAGCAUCAGAAGCCGUUCGUAUCUGCUGUGGUCUAAGCUCUUGGCAAGAGGUAGGGGUGGGAGUCAGUCUACUAUUUUUCAUAAUGAAAAAAUGAGUGAAAUUAAUUUUUGAAAUGCAGGUGCCACAAAAUUCAGGCAAGUUACAGAAGGGCGCCUGGAGCUGAAAAAGGCUGAGAAACCACUGUACUAGGUACAGGAAGCCACGAUGAUCGCUUUCUCUACAGCAUCUUAAAUAGCAACUGGAUAUAUUUUUCAUGCCUGUUAAUGGGGACUGAUUUCAGAAAUGCUCCAGUGAAGACAUUAAGUAGGACUGGAAUUGUCUCCUUGUUUCUCCAGCACUCGACGCUCCUCACCUCCCUCUCCAGCGCUCGGCGCUGUCUUCCCCCGGGCACUGACGUUCCUGGUUAUGCCUCUGGCUUUGCUUACACAAAAAAUGGAACCAGUUUAACUCUGGUUUACUCAAUCUGGUCAAUUUAAGUAGUGCACACCAAUUCACAGGUGGUUUUCUUGGUGUAGCUUGUGUUGAUAACUUUUUAAAACCAAUUUUAAUUAAAUAGGCACAAUAUCUGGCUAGGUGAGGCCUGAAACAUCAUUUCGCACACCCAUUGCAUAGUCAUGCAUGCGCAUAGGAAAAGAAAGGAGAAAGUGCUUGAUGAAGUUACGGAACCACUUUGAUUCCAGUUAAUUUACUACAUGUCUGCUCCCUGACACAGGAAGUUGCUUGGCUUACCUUUCUAGUAGGAUCUAUUCAUUUAGCAAUAGCAGUUAUAAUUAUGCUUUAAAAAUACUUACAGUGAAAUCUGAUUUCACAUGCUCCUGCAUUUCGGGGGGAGGGGAAAAAUCUUGACUAGAAACUCUCACUUCUUGAAUGAAACUUUCCAUGCUUCAAAGCUCUCAAAGCUAAACAGAAUUAUUGAAAAUUAGGGUUGGAAGGGACCUCAGGAGGUCACCUAGUCUAAUGCCCUGCUUGAAGCAGGACUACCCCCAACUAUAUCACCCCACCAAGGCUUUUAAAAUUUCCAAGUGAACAUAAGUAAUAGGUUUAGAUGCCAAAAAUGAGUCCAGUAAUGCAGUUAUUUUAGUACUGCAGUGUAUAUGAAUCAUUGUGUUCCUGUUAACUUGAACAUGUAGGAAGAAUUAUAUUUGUCAAUCUUCUUUUGUUAAAUAGAAAGCAAAAGACUUAUCUAGGCAGAAUUGUGGUGGGGGAUAUUUAUUCCAGUUUUUGCUAUAAUUUUAAAUCUUCCAAUUUGAAUGUUGUAUCACUGGGAUUUUUACCUUUAAAUGGGUAAAGUAGUGUCAUGAAAUACUGUAUGAUUCACACCCAAAGAGAAGGUACAAUGUAUUUUAAGGUUGGGAAAUUAUAUUAGAGCAAGUAGAAGCAAAAGUGUCUAGCCAAACCAAUAAUCACCCUUCCAUGAAUACUAGAUUCUGUUUCUCACCUGUCUAAACUCUUUCCUCUGGUGAGAUAGUAUCAUCUUUUUACAUUAAUCUUAGGAUUUAGUGUGGGAUAGUUUUAAAAUUGCUCUUCUGUGUAAAGUUAAGACUAACAGUCCUGAUUUCCUCAAUGCUGAAAAAAGCCCCUCUUUUUCCUGAUUUACAUACUUAGAAACAUGUUUCUGUUUUAACAAUGAUUGAUGGAGGUUGGGUUUUUUGCUUUUGUUUUGGCGAGUCUCUGCUUUUACGUUGGUAUGUGGUAUCAUAACUGAUAGGUGAUUUCCCUUGUGGAGUGGGGGGCGGGGUUCCAAAGAGGAAAUCAUCCACUAUGAAUGCUUUGGGCUUGAUUCAGUACUAUGUAAAGUCAAUGAAAAGACUCCCAUUCAUCUCAGUGUCAGUUGGAUUGGAUCCUUAAAAUGGCUUUUCUUGGGGAAACAAGAAAGAUUAAAAAUAGAUUUAAAAAAAUAAUAAAAAACAAGAUGGAUUAAAAAUAGAAUGAAAAGUUUUGACUUUUAAGCUGCUAGUUCAGGUCUAGUAAAGGCUGGUAGGGAAUAAAAGUCGUAACUGUUUGGGAACCUUUUGGCCUUUUUGAAGAUAGGCUAGUUGAUUUGUGGUGGAAAAGCAUCAAACCCUACUUUCCAGCUUUUCUUGUGCUGUUUUCAAGGUUGCUUUGAAGACUGUUUGUUGGCUCUGUUAAUAUCUUUGGAAAUGGUGAUUUGUAUUGGACAGGGAACUUUUGUAACUCUUGGAAAGGAUUUCUAAAUGUAUUGUCUACAGAACUAACCGUGGGUAUUUUUAGAGUCCAAAAUGUGAACUAAUUCACUAAUUGAGAAAUUAACUUUUUUUUCUUCUUCUUUCAGCGCUACAACUUGUUGUGAAGCAGUUACACCUGCUCCACUUGUGCAUAUUUUCAAACAGGCAGGAUCUUUUGAAAACGAUACCUAAUGUUAUAUUAUUAAAAUGGCUAUCCAUACAAGGCUGAGAGUAUAAAAAUGAAAAUGCUGACAGGUAUUUUUUAAUCUUUUGAGAUUUUAACUAACAUUUCAUUGUUAUUUAUGUUUUCUAAUUAUCUCUCUAAGCAAAUAUAAAUUGCUGUAUUAUGCAUCUACUAGACAAGGGUUGCUCAAUUUCCAGGCCCUGGGCCAAAUGCAGCCCCAUGGAGCCAUCACAUCUGGCUUGUGGGGCUCCCCAUGGGUCUGGGGAAUUGGCAGCAAGCGAGUGGUGGCCAUGAACACAGCCUCCCCCCCACUUUCCCCUGCCAAAUCCCCAAGCCCCAAUACCUGCAUGGCUGGUCUGAGCCAAGCUAUGCCUCUUUCCCCCGUGGGCCUGGGCCACGUUCCCCCACUUCGGGAUCAGGGUUGGACCGUGUCUCCUUCCUUUCCUGCAGGGCCAGGUUGGGCCAGGCCACGCACUCUUUCCCUCCCUACAAGGUCACCUGGCUAGCCUUUUUUCCCUCUUCACAAGGAUGGGUCAAGCUCCUUUCCCCAUCAGGGCUGUGUUGAAGCCAGUUUGUCCCCCACCUGGCCAGAUGGUGCCCACUCACGUGCCAGAGCAGGAACACCUGGAUCCAGCCCACGAAUGUACUGGCCACUGACAGUCUGGCCUGCCGUGUGAAAAUGUUGGGGCUGCACUGUACUAUCGGUGGUCCAUUAAACCAAUUUUAAAUAAACAAGUCAUGGAAUCACAGAUUAUGUGAUCAUAAUUUUAUCACUACUUGAUAUUUUCCUUUCAAAGGCAAAAAUAGAAGUACUCUGUGACAGGCUCACAGCCACAGGGGCUGCCAUGACACCCCUAGCGGCCUUGCUGCUCCUGCCUGGCUCCAGCCCUAAUGUCACUCUCUCUUCAUUGUUCACCAGCCGUGCCUUGCUCUUAAUAUUACAGGUUGAUUCAAGGAGGCUGCUAGCAGGCCUUAGAGUGAGCCCGAAUCCAGUAAGUUUCCACUGGGUCUGAGGCCCCGUUGGCCUCUAUCCAGACAUCCAACUUUGGUAGGUUCCUCUCGGCCUGACUGCAGGUGCCCUACAGGGACCUAGCCUUCAGGGCAAACUGAGUGGUUCCUUUUCCUCCCCUACUCCAUGCCCUAAGCCUCAGAGAUGUUCUCCCUUUGAUUUUCCUUCUUAUACACUCUGGCUCCUUGAGCGCUCAGACCCCUCCCCAGCCCAGCCCUGGACACAGGUGGCUCUGGGCCUCUUGGACCUCGUGAUCUGGGUCUCAGCCUUUUUUCAGUUCUGGGACCCCUCCCUGGGUCCCACCCUCAGUGUGAGGGCUCCUGGGAUACUGGCUCUCUAAGCAAGCCUUGAGUCUGCACCCCCAGGGUUCAAGGCUAAACAUAAAUAAGUAACAUCACCGCUGUCUGGCAGACACCUCAGUCUUUAGAGGUGUAACAUAAAGACCACUUGCCUGUAAACCCAGUCUUCCUCAGUCCAAGAAACUUGCCUCUGUUUCCAGACCUGUAGAGUUGUUCAGCCAAAAUCCAGUUCCCUUCAGGGACCCGGAGCCAGGAGUUCUGCACUGUGCAGUAGCUGGGGAGAAUCGAACAGACUGGUGCAGACUCUGGGCUCAUGUAGCUCCAGCCUGAGCCCUCUUCCAGCCAGGUGAGUCCCUCAUUAGCUCCCCCCUGCCCCCUAAAAGCAGCCUCUCAGGCCGCUUGCUCUCCUAAAGGAUCAGGCACAUCCCAGUGCCCUGCUACAUAUUCUGUAUACUAGAUAACCAUGAUAGUUGAUUACUGUGUUAAUUAUUUGUAUGUCCUUCGAUGAGGAGAGGUGACAAUCCUGACUAAAGUUCUGUUGUAGCAGAUGCUGUACAAACGCAAAUAAAGACUUAAGGUGCGUGUAAAUGAAAUGAAAAUUCCCGUUUAUGUCAACACAACUGCAUUUGUCACUAUGGCCUGUUUGUUAGUUCUUAUCCUGAAAAGAUAUAGUCUGAAAAAGCUCCUUUUGUAUUCGAAGGCCAAGUCUGUGUGUGCAUAGUUUUCAACAAAUGAGCUGUUAAACUCAGUAAGACUAUUAGCGCAUGAGGCUAAAUGUAUGCAUAAUCAUUUGCAGAAGUGGGGUGUGAAACUGUAGUUUUAUAAAUACACAGCAAAGCUAAGGCAGGUCUUACCUUUAAAGCAGCUAAUCAAUCUAGUAUUAGGACUUCAUUCGCUUAGCUAGAGUAAACCAAACAAAGGAAAUGAGACUUAAUAGAUACAGCAUGGGAUAUUAGAGUUUUUACAGGUUAGUUUUAUUUUGGUACUGUUUGUAGGCCACAUUAGCCCACUGAUUGCACUGGUUGUUGUGCAAACACACAUGAGCUUCAUGCUGAUAAAUUACUAUUUUAAGCCUUGGGACCGUUCUCUCUCUCUUGGUUGGAGGAUUUGGACCAAAAAGGAAAAACACAGGGAGGGGGGGACUUUGUGAUUGAACAGAAGUGAUUGAACAGAACAAAAUCUGAAAAACGAUUCUGUGAGAAUAUCUUCUUUUACCACCUGUCAUGAUGGCAAGAGGUCAGUUUGGCUUUUAAAUUCAGGAGUAGUGUGUAGGUCUGGAAUGAAAAAAAACACCCCAUUUCUUCCACCUGUUCCCUUAUAUACUAAGCAAAUUUGAUUUAGAGAAAGAAGGGUUUUGUUUUUACUAAAACUGCAUUUAACCUUGACCUGGCAAUCGCAUAGCAUCAUAGCUCUUAACUUAUUUGGAUAUUUGAUUACUGUAACUUAAAAAAAAAUUAAACAUGUAGGAAUUAAGAACUGUAAAGUAAUAGGUAGUGUGUUAUUUUAUCAUCUCAGGUUCAAGCAGGACAGUUUCAGGAAAGUAUGACUUGAGAGAGGCAGCCAGGCAGACAAUCCAAAUGCUUCAGUUGGCAGGAUGAAGUGAUAUGCUAAUGUAAGAGAAAAGAGCCCUUGCUUUCUGUAAGUGCCUUCGUUGCAUCCCAAGAGGAAAGCUGCUGUGUCAUUGAACCAGUUAGUCUCCAGCGUGCCACCCUGCCCAGAUUUCUUCCAAGGAAGGACUAGUGGAUGUGAUCUCUGCAAAAAGAAAGCUUGUCUGGUUAUGAAACAGAGGUCUGAAUGGUCCUGACGGUAAAACAAGCGUAUCUGUUAAGAUGACUGCGGGGAAAGUAUCCUGUUUUCAUCUAUGCAGCCUGGUGAGUUCCACGAUUUACAUUUGAAAAGUACCUCUUACAGCACAUGUCCUUAGAGCUGAUUUUUUUUAUUAUAUGAUAAGCUUUUCAUGGCUUUUGCCUCUCCGAUAUGUGUGAAGUGGGCCUAGAAUUUGGGGGAGAUCGCAUGUUUUUCUGUCGGCAAACCACAGAGCAGGUCAGCACUGCUAUUUAGGACACCGUAACGUGUGACAAAGCAUUCCCAUUGACGUUACAUGGUACUUAGUAUUCCCAGCCCCACAACCAUCGCUAGUUGUGCCAUUGCAUUGCUGCUGCGGCUGUUACAUUUGUUAGCAGCAGCCCCUGAACUGACAAGCUCCACAAGUCUUCAAGGCUCCCAGAAGUCAGUUUCCGGACUGGUGUUAUCACCGACAGUGCUGGGCAUGGCUUACGGCGCUAGCAGUGCCGCGGUGCUUGCAGCGGGCAUGCUGGCAGCCUCUUAUCCCACGGAGGGCUCCUGACGGUCGGUCCGUUCCCGCUGGGGAUUUAACGAGCCCUUUGUUGGCAGCGCGUUCCAAGACGGGCAGUUUUCCUGUGCGGGGGCAGCCUCCCGCAUCCGUCCCGCGUCUCCCUGGAUGAAGCAGGGCCGGGCAGAAGCCACGCGCUGCGGUUCGGAGGAGAGCAGUGCCGGGGGAGGGUUCAAGUCAGGAUGUCGUCGUCACGCUGGGGCGUUUCUCAGCCUUCCUGCCGAGAGCGUCUCGUCUCCGCUUCCUGUGACCCGUCUCUUGGUGGAGUCACCAGCAGCCUGAUUAAGGGGGGUUACAGCUUUCAUUCAGAAGGCAGAAAAAUGGAGCAUUUCAAACCCCCGCCAGCAUUGUCCUUCGCUUGAAAUCCUGGGGAGAACUGGAGGAGGUGGGAGCAGAAGCUACGAUUACACCUUGCAGUCACAAAGGCCGGGCAAGAGGCAGAGGGUUAUAACAUUGCAGUCACGCUUCACUGCGAUGGGUAUAAAGGCCUAGACAUUUACAACACCACGCAAGGGGUGUUUGCAGACCCUGGUAACAAAACCCUGGCAGAGGUGCUUGCAGCAUUCAAGAGAAAUGAACCCAGAAAAAAACCCUGUUUUUGAAAGGUAUCGGUUCUGGCAACUUAGCUACACGGAGGCUGCAGGCAGAGAUGAUUUUGUUACAGAGCUCAGAAGCAGUCUCCCUGGACGAAGCAGGGCCGGGGAGAAGCCACGCGCUGCGGUUCGGAGGAGAGCAGUGCCGGGGGAGGGUUCAAGUCAGGAUGUCGUUGUCACGCUGGGGCGUUUCUCAGCCUUCCUGCCGACAGCGUCUCGUCUUCGCUUCCUGUGACCUGUGUCUUGGUGGAGUCACCAGCAGCCUGAUUAAGGGGGUUACAGCUUUCAUUCAGAAGGCAGAACCUUCUGUUUGAAGGAAGCAAAUGCUGAGCAGAGCACAGCAUUGUGAAUUUGGGUCGGCUGAGGAUGUUAUGUUGAGGGAGAGGCUUGUUUGCAGCAUAACUGAUUGCAAACUCAGGGAAAGGCUUCUGGAAAACCCCUCCCUCACCCUAGCACAGGCUGUGGAUAUCUGCAGACCAAAUGCUCUCUGCAGAAGCAAGCUUGCAUACAGUUGAGCAGAAGCAAAGCUGCCAUAGCACUUUGCAAAAGCAAAGCAAAGCACAGGUGAAGUUUGCUCCACAGGAGGGCCAUCAAGCUGCAAAGGGCAAAGUUUGCAAACGAUGCGGAAGCACACGCAAGCCUAGAUCCUGCCCAGCUUUUGGAGAAACGUGGUACAAAUGCUUUGGAGUGAACCACUUUGCAAAAAUGUGCAAAUCAAAGGGAGAGGCUCCAAAAUCUGCAAAAGGAGUCAGUACCCUCUAUAUGGGCGCUGUGUCUGCCAAGCAGCACUCACCGACCGUUGAUAAGCAGAAUGCCUGGUAUAGCACAGCGAUGAUCGCUGGCUUGCCAGCUUAUUUGAAGUUAGAUACUGGAGCGGAAGCAAACGCUGUUCCAGUAGCUAUAGCAAAGGCUUUGCAAGGAAAAGUAUGCAAGGUUCAAACUCAUGUUACAUUAGUUGCAUUUGGCGGUGCACCCAUCAAACCAAAAGGUGCAGGAAUUGCAGGCUGCAAAUCUGGUGCUAAUGAAUCUGAUGUAACUUUCUACCUAACCGACAAUAGUGACCCACCAAGACCUGGUACGGGUGGCACACGCCACGUUAGACCUCAUCAGACGAGUCCACGGAAUGGCCCCAACAAUACCCGCAACCAAGGCGGACCUUCUCAAACUAUGUCCGGACGUUUUCGAAGGAGUGGGCCAGUUUCCCGGUACCUGCCACAUCUGUGUCGACCCAGCAGUACCACCAGUGGUGCACGGGUGUAGAAAAAUUCCCUGUGCAAACCUAGGCACAUAGAAGACUGCCCUCGAAACGCUGGAAGCUAUGAGAGUCCUUACGAAGGUGACUAAGCCCACACACCCUGGGUCAAUAGCCUUGUGAUCGCGCAAAACAAGGAUUGUUCGCUACCGCUUUGUUUAGACCUGCAAGACCUCAACGAGGCAGUAUCGAGGCAGCACUUUUGUAUUCCCGCUGUGGAGGAUGUGCAAAAGAGCUUGUCAGGCAAAAAGCUGUUCACCAUUCUUGAUGAAGAGGACAGCUAUGGGCAAGUCAAACCAGACAGGGAAUCAGCCGAGCUGCGUACCACUCCAAGAUGAACAUGAGUCGGCAGUGUGACGAAGCCAUCGGAAAAGCUAACGGCACUUUAUCGUGCAUCAGCAGAUGCAUGACGAAUAGGUCCAAGGAGGUGAUACUUCCCCUCUAUCGGGCGCUGGUCAGACCGCAGUUGGAGUACUGCGUGCAAUUCUGGGUGCCGCACUUCAAGAGGGAUGCGGAUAACCUGGAGAGGGUCCAGUGAAGGGCCACUCGUAUGGUUAAGGGCUUGCAGACCAAGCCCUACGAGGAGAGACUGGAGAACCUGGACCUUUUCAGCCUCCGCAAGAGAAGGUUGAGAGGCGACCUUGUGGCUGCCUAUAAGUUCAUCACGGGGGCACAGAAGGGUAUUGGUGAGGUUUUAUUCACCAAGGCGCCCCCGGGGGUUACAAGAAAUGAUGGCCACAAGCUAGCAGAGAGCAGAUUUAGACUGGACAUUAGGAAGAACUUCUUCACAGUUCGA